AACGAACGCUGGCGGCAUGCCUAACACAUGCAAGUCGAACGAUGCCUUCGGGCAUAGUGGCGCACGGGUGAGUAACGCGUGGGAACCUGCCCUGUGGUACGGAAUAACUCCGGGAAACUUGAGCUAAUACCGUAUGUUUCCCCUGGGACAAAGAUUUAUCGCCACGGGAUGGGCCCGCGUAGGAUUAGCUUGUUGGUGGGGUAACGGCCUACCAAGGCUACGAUCCUUAGCUGGUCUGAGAGGAUGAUAAGACACACUGGGACUGAGACACGGCCCAGACUCCUACGGGAGGCAGCAGUGGGGAAUAUAGGACAAUGGGCGCAAGCAUGAUCCAGCAAUGCCGCGUGAGUGAUGAAGGCCUUCGGGUUGUAAAGCUCUUUCGCACGCGACGAUGAUGACGGUAGCGUGAGAAGAAGCCCCGGCUAACUUCGUG
rnacentral:rRNA from 1 species